rnacentral:rRNA from 1 species
GAUGAACGCUGGCGGCGUGCCUAAUACAUGCAAGUCGAGCGAACAGACGAGGAGCUUGCUCCUCUGACGUUAGCGGCGGACGGGUGAGUAACACGUGGAUAACCUACCUAUAAGACUGGGAUAACUUCGGGAAACCGGAGCUAAUACCGGAUAAUAUAUUGAACCGCAUGGUUCAAUAGUGAAAGACGGUUUUGCUGUCACUUAUAGAUGGAUCCGCGCCGCAUUAGCUAGUUGGUAAGGUAACGGCUUUCCAAGGCGACGAUGCGUAGCCGACCUGAGAGGGUGAUCGGCCACACUGGAACUGAGACACGGUCCAGACUCCUACGGGAGGCAGCAGUAGGGAAUCUUCCGCAAUGGGCGAAAGCCUGACGGAGCAACGCCGCGUGAGUGAUGAAGGUCUUCGGAUCGUAAAACUCUGUUAUUAGGGAAGAACAAAUGUGUAAGUAACUAUGCACGUCUUGACGGUACCUAAUCAGAAAGCCGCGGCUAACUACGUG